AUGAGCUCUACUUUUAAAGAUGCAUUGAAGACAACCGAUCCACUUCCCCUGCGAAAGGCUACUGCUCCUUCUGAUAUACUGGUUGCACUUCAGUUGAUAUCAAAUUUGGCAGAAGUGGACAUGUUGCGCUCUUAUGGGAAGUUGAUUCUUAAUGAGCGUUUGUUUGAAGCUCUAAUGCAGUUUCCCAUGAAGAUGAGGAAGACUUGGCUGCCAUUGUUGCCUUGA
rnacentral:rRNA from 1 species